UUUUAAAGCAUAAUUCCUUAUUAUAUAACGAAAACACCACAUUACAAACAGAGACACAUCGACAUUCAACCUGCUAGGUCACAGAAAAGAACUGAAACAAGAAAUUGCAAACCAAAACAAACAAGCCCUUAGCGGCUUACAUCUCUGUUCGGAUAAAGAGACACGUGCAGCGUUUCCUUUAUUCCACUACUAUAUAUUAUAGUACUAACGCCUGCACCUGAUCAGGAACAGAGAUGGCUGAUUUUGACUUAAAUUGCUAGGACUAGACCCGGCACUGACUUCCCGAACUGACUGGAGAGUCUGCUCUCCCAAAUGGACGGGCAAUGCACGGGAGUUAUCUCCGCCGAUGAAGAUGAAGAUGAUGAAGACGGAGAUGAACAAUCAGAUGACUCAGAUUCUUGGUUACCAAGACGAGUAACAGUCAGUGAAGUGUUGAAGUACUCUCUGACUUGCGUAAUUAUCCCAUCCGUGACUGUCCACGCGUGAACCCAAGAAAUGGAGCGGCUAGAAUCGCACCCUUCAGCAAUCACGAUCGACCCGAAGGACCUGAUGAAUUCAGGGUUGAACUCAAACGUACCAGUAGAGGAGCUUUUCCCAACUUUUUCCGAGCCAGUGAGAAGGCGCAUCAUAUACUGGUGAGACGGCGGGCCAUGGAACCACCACUCGAGGUCGGAGGCGAGGAUCUGGUGCACAGUGUCCACGUCUCGAGAUCUUAAGGCCUCAUAGAGGUCAAGAACCACCUCUUGGUUCUUUCUUGAUGAUUCUUCCAGUAUUUCCUCUGAGUUAGCCAGUUCGAGAAUAAGCCCGGAGUCGGCCCUUUAACACAGAAGCUA
rnacentral:misc_RNA from 1 species